AUUAAAAUAAAAAAUGAAUUCAGACAGAAGUUUUAUUGAAUCUAUAACAGAUAAUCCUGCUCCACAUUAUGAAGGCUUUUUGAGAUAUCCAACAUCUUCAUCUGCAAUGAGUGCUCUAGUUCCAUCCUCAAUUGCAUUG
rnacentral:lncRNA from 1 species